GACGAACGCUGACGGCGUGCUUUAGACAUGCAAGUCGAACGAGAAAGCCCUUCGGGGUUAGUAAAGUGGCGAACGGGUGAGUAACACGUGGGCAAUCUGCCCUUCGUAGGGGGACAACCGGGGGAAACCCCGGCUAAUACCCCGUAAGCUUGUCGGGUCACAUGGCCUGACAAGGAGAGGUAGCUUCGGCCAUCCGGCGAAGGAGGAGCCCGCGGUUCAUUAGCUAGUUGGUGAGGUAACGGCUCACCAAGGCUACGAUGUAUAGCUGGUCUGAGAGGAUGAUCAGCCACACUGGGACUGAGACACGGCCCAGACUCCGACGGGAGGCAGCAGUCGGGAAUCUUGCACAAGGGGCGAAAGCCUGAUGCAGCAACGCCGUGUGAGCGACGAAGGCCUUAGGGUCGUAAAGCUCUGUUGUUAGGGACGAAGGGCGAAGGGUUAAUAGCCCUUAGCCUGACGGUACCUUUCGAGGAAGCCCCGGCUAACUACGUGCCAGCAGCCGCCGUAA
rnacentral:rRNA from 1 species